GACGAACGCUGGCGGCGUGCUUAACACAUGCCAGUCGAACGGAAAGGCCCUGCUUUUGUGGGGUGCUCGAGUGGCGAACGGGUGAGUAACACGUGAGUAACCUGCCCUUGACUUUGGGAUAACUUCAGGAAACUGGGGCUAAUACCGGAUAGGAGCUCCUGCUGCAUGGUGGGGGUUGGAAAGUUUCGGCGGUUGGGGAUGGACUCGCGGCUUAUCAGCUUGUUGGUGGGGUAGUGGCUUACCAAGGCUUUGACGGGUAGCCUGCCUGAGAGGGUGACCGGCCACAUUGGGACUGAGAUACGGCCCAGACUCCUACGGGAGGCAGCAGUGGGGAAUAUUGCACAAUGGGCGGAAGCCUGAUGCAGCAACGCCGCGUGCGGGAUGACGGCCUUCGGGUUGUAAACCGCUUUCGCCUGUGACGAAGCGUGAGUGACGGUAAUGGGUAAAGAAGCACCGGCUAACUACGUG
rnacentral:rRNA from 1 species